rnacentral:rRNA from 1 species
UGUUUCGGCUAGGGGGCCAUCCCGGCUUACCAACCCGAUGCAAACUGCGAAUACCGGAGAAUGUUAUCACGGGAGACACACGGCGGGUGCUAACGUCCGUCGUGAAGAGGGAAACAACCCAGACCGCCAGCUAAGGUCCCAAAGUCAUGGUUAAGUGGGAAACGAUGUGGGAAGGCCCAGACAGCCAGGAUGUUGGCUUAGAAGCAGCCAUCAUUUAAAGAAAGCGUAAUAGCUCACUGGUCGAGUCGGCCUGCGCGGAAGAUGUAACGGGGCUAAACCAUGCACCGAAGCUGCGGCAGCGACGCUGAUGCGUUGUUGGGUAGGGGAGCGUUCUGUAAGCCUGUGAAGGUGGCCUGUGAGGGUUGCUGGAGGUAUCAGAAGUGCGAAUGCUGACAUAAGUAACGAUAAAGCGGGUGAAAAGCCCGCUCGCCGGAAGACCAAGGGUUCCUGUCCAACGUUAAUCGGGGCAGGGUGAGUCGACCCCUAAGGCGAGGCCGAAAGGCGUAGUCGAUGGGAAACGGGUUAAUAUUCCCGUACUUGGUGUUACUGCGAAGGGGGGACGGAGAAGGCUAUGUUGGCCGGGCGACGGUUGUCCCGGUUUAAGCGUGUAGGUGUGUGUUCCAGGUAAAUCCGGUUCACUUUAACACUGAGGCGUGAUGACGAGGCACUACGGUGCUGAAGCAACAAAUGCCCUGCUUCCAGGAAAAGCCUCUAAGCAUCAGGUAACAUCAAAUCGUACCCCAAACCGACACAGGUGGUCAGGUAGAGAAUACCAAGGCGCUUGAGAGAACUCGGGUGAAGGAACUAGGCAAAAUGGUGCCGUAACUUCGGGAGAAGGCACGCUGACACGUAGGUGAAGUGAUUUACUCACGGAGCUGAAGUCAGUCGAAGAUACCAGCUGGCUGCAACUGUUUAUUAAAAACACAGCACUGUGCAAACACGAAAGUGGACGUAUACGGUGUGACGCCUGCCCGGUGCCGGAAGGUUAAUUGAUGGGGUCAGCGCAAGCGAAGCUCCUGAUCGAAGCCCCGGUAAACGGCGGCCGUAACUAUAACGGUCCUAAGGUAGCGAAAUUCCUUGUCGGGUAAGUUCCGACCUGCACGAAUGGCGUAAUGAUGGCCAGGCUGUCUCCACCCGAGACUCAGUGAAAUUGAACUCGCUGUGAAGAUGCAGUGUACCCGCGGCAAGACGGAAAGACCCCGUGAACCUUUACUAUAGCUUGACACUGAACAUUGAGCCUUGAUGUGUAGGAUAGGUGGGAGGCUUUGAAGUGUGGACGCCAGUCUGCAUGGAGCCGACCUUGAAAUACCACCCUUUAAUGUUUGAUGUUCUAACGUGGACCCGUGAUCCGGGUUGCGGACAGUGUCUGGUGGGUAGUUUGACUGGGGCGGUCUCCUCCUAAAGAGUAACGGAGGAGCACGAAGGUUGGCUAAUCCUGGUCGGACAUCAGGAGGUUAGUGCAAUGGCAUAAGCCAGCUUGACUGCGAGCGUGACGGCGCGAGCAGGUGCGAAAGCAGGUCAUAGUGAUCCGGUGGUUCUGAAUGGAAGGGCCAUCGCUCAACGGAUAAAAGGUACUCCGGGGAUAACAGGCUGAUACCGCCCAAGAGUUCAUAUCGACGGCGGUGUUUGGCACCUCGAUGUCGGCUCAUCACAUCCUGGGGCUGAAGUAGGUCCCAAGGGUAUGGCUGUUCGCCAUUUAAAGUGGUACGCGAGCUGGGUUUAGAACGUCGUGAGACAGUUCGGUCCCUAUCUGCCGUGGGCGCUGGAGAACUGAGGGGGGCUGCUCCUAGUACGAGAGGACCGGAGUGGACGCAUCACUGGUGUUCGGGUUGUCAUGCCAAUGGCACUGCCCGGUAGCUAAAUGCGGAAGAGAUAAGUGCUGAAAGCAUCUAAGCACGAAACUUGCCCCGA